CCGAAAUAACCUGGGUCGGAAGCUCUAUCGACCGCUACACACGUACCUCACGUCUCGUCCCACUACUCAUCGCCCGCGAUACCUAAAAAAUGGUGGGGGAGGUGAGAACAUGAAAACAUGUCUCCCCUCCCAGUGGGUACCGCAAGUCGAAGAAGGCGAGGAGUACUCACCGGAUCAGGAAGAGCUAUACAACAACACGGUUCAGUGGAAAUACAGUAGGAACAAUAGUGAACAAAAGAGAUGUAUAAGAUAAUGAGCAGAUAUACUAAAUGCAGUAGUAAUAAACUGAAAGAAAGUAAGAACUAGACUGAAUAAAGGCUACCGCUACUGUAACUGGAACCGAAAGCAUACAUGAAUAUCUACUAUAGCAGCAAGACAACUAUAAAGUAAGAACUGUAAGUAUGCAUGCAACGACUGCUACUAUAGACAUAUACGUCAACCGGUCAAGAAGUCCAAAAGUACCCAAUCUGAAACCAAUGCUCUCUUGGUCAGCACCGCGGACCUCAAGCCAGUGCCACUACUACUCUCCAGUGCAUAUAACCUCUCUAGGGCUCACGGGUUGUCACCAUUCAAUCACUUUUCCGGAAAAGAACACUCCUUGCGGUGGAUCAGACCGCCAGUGUUCGUGAAAUGCGACAAGUAUCGGGCGAUCAAUGUAAUAUGCUCAAUGCUCAACCAUCGGUAACCAGCCGACAAUCCUGCCCCCCAGGGCCCAUCGACCGCAUAGGUCGUCAACUGUAAAGAAGCACAAGAACCGACCACUCAGGUCAACUAGGAUGGGACAACAUCGACAUCCUCUCAAACAUAUGCAAAUACUGCUCAAUGAACCACAAGGACUGACCACUCAGAUCAACUAGGAUAUGAAACUCGACCAAUCACGUCACAAGUACAGGAUAUGAAACUCGACCAAUCAUGUCACAAGUAUAGGAUAUGAGUAAAGUAUAAUUAUCCGUCGGCAACUAACCGACAAUCCCAUCCUUCAGGGUAUACCGACCUCAACAGUCAUCAGACAACAAAGGUCGAGGAACUCACCGAAUAGGUCACAAAUACUGAAUACUAGAAUAGACCGACUAGAUCGCUAAUCUCACAGAUAAUCACGGAAUCGCUCUACUAUAAAUAUGAAAUAUGGUAUGCAGAAAGCUAAGUAGAGGAACAAGGAAACAUGGUAUCACAUACAGAUAGACUAUACUCCUACACAUGAUACUAAGCAUGGAAACAUCUGAGUAGAGUAUAAUCAAACAACGUGGGUGUAAUGUAAACAAUAGAGGUGCAAAGCUCAACAUAUAAUAUAAGCAUGGAUAAUAACAAAAGAGCAAGGGUAAGAAACCAUCACCGAGCGUGCACCACUGUACCGACGUCGGAUCGAAGUACCCACCUGUACAACUGUCGCGCCUGUCUCCUGACUGCAAAAGAACGUCAACCGGACCUAAGGAGGGUCCACUGGGUUAGUGUCUAACCCACAGCUAAGAAACCCUAAAAGCAUAACCCACAAACAAUCCCACAGAAAUCGGUUUCCCAAUACCGAUUACCGUAACUCGCCGGAAGUCCCGAAAAUCGCACCGGGACUCCGCCGGGACCCACUAACUAUCCCGGAAGGCACCGACUCAUGCCACGAGUCAUUUGCUGCCACUAAACACUUAUUUUAGUGUGACAAGGCAGCAAACACAAGGAUACACAACCAAACAACUAUUGGUGGAUAAUUGUUGGGAUCCGGGUUCCCGGAAGUGUCUAUUUCGACACCGGAACCCACCGUCACUCACUCGUCAUUUCUGAACUCUCGAAAUGACGUGAGUAACCAGCCAACAAGGCUCAGCGACUACACAAUAGCUCACGAAGCGCCGUCGGAAUAAUUCCGAACCAAAACCGCGUUCCGUCGGCGGAUUUUGCCGACAAACGCACCGAAAAUACAUUUCCGAUCUUCGCAAAGGUCCGGGGCCUUGGACAAUCAGUCUAGAGAUCACCCACAGCCUACCCAUGCUGCCAACAGCAGCCGCAACAACCGGAAUUGCAUAAAAGCCCUUUCGAAUACCCGAAAUCGCAUUAUUUCAUGCGAUUUCGGCGCUUUUAUGGUCCGUCUGCACAAACCAGAAGUGAAUCAGCCGAGCCAAUAUACCUAUUGAUAGGUUUCAGCGUGCCGGAGGCCAUGCUCACCUUUCGGAGCAAUUUUGGCCACUGCGGAGAGCGCGGGAGUGACGCGAAAAUCUGCGAACAGCGCGCACAGCAUGAAAAACGUGCUUAUCUCGCUAACCAGGGGCUCGCUGACCCUAAUUGAGGUGAGCACUGUGAUCAGGACUGAUAGACUAUCACCGUGCUCACCCCCGGAGGCAUCGGAACAGCCUCGGGUCGCCGGAACAGUGACUAGAACAGGAAAUCAUGUGCAGGACAGCAACAACAAUGCUUACCGGCCAGGGCAGAGCUAGGGCUGGCCGCCGGCGGCCGGACGGUAAGCGCUUCGGCCGGAGGUGGGAGCAGAUGGUCCAAGGGGUCCGGGUAACCUGCUGGCCGGCGGCGGGAGGUGGCCGGUGGCGCGGCGACGGCCGGAGGAGGUCGGGGCGACGGCGAGAAACACGCGCAUGAGGUCACCAACAGAAGAGGGAGGCGGGGCGGACCGCCUCAAGGCGGCUGCAACUCGCGGCCACGAGCUGACUCGAGCUCGGCCCGAGCUGCAGCAGAUUGCCGCAGAUGGUCCCGACGGCGCCGGCGGCACGUGCGGACGGUGACGGCUGGUAGGGACGGCGCCGGGGAGAUCGAGAAGGGUGGUUCAUCCCAUCCCGAGCGGCAGCAGGGCGAGGAGGAGGAGAUCUCACAACCUCGGCCAGAUCUGUCCAGGUUGGCCGCAUCCUGCUAGGGCGGCGGUGGCGGCGCUCCGGGGCGGCCGGCGGCGAAGAUGCUGGAGAAGGGUCUCGGCCAGAGGGUGCAGUCUUGACGUGGAUGGUCACCCCUCGAGCUCAAAGACCAAAGAAGAUAGUGGCUAGGUGGAGAUGAUGGUAGAGGAGAGGCCGAUCCUGGUUUCCGGCGGCCGGGGAAGCUCGCCGGCGGCCGGGGCGCGCGCCCUGCUAGAGCAUGGACCUGCAGAUGGCGGCUAGGGCACAGCUGGGCGCUGGGUUGAGUAGAUCUAUGGUUUCGUGCAUAGAAACCCUAGAUGCACAUUGUAUACAAAGUGCAAUUUUGCACAAAAGUCCACCGAACUACAAAUUUCAACCCUAGUCCUUCACAAUGGGUAACUCUCGCGCUUUUGCACCUCCACAAUCGAUCUCGCACGAUUCGGUACAUAAAAUAUUGCGACUUUGCGAAUUCCCGGUUUUCCACUCUCGACCCCUUAGCGAACUUAUUGCAAAUCCCAAAGAUCCGUCCAUCGGAUUUCUGAUCGGAUCACGCCAACGCGUUCAGCACGUCGAGGCAUCGAAUCUAGCAUUUCGUUUUGUCCGAUUUGAUCUCCGAUUCACGAUGAAAUCCAUUCUCUCUCCAAAAGGCCAAAAUGAUGCACAAUUACAUAAGAAACAUGUAUUUUCAGAUUUUUCUCGAAAAUCGUGCAUCAUAUUUAAAAUCCGUCAGUGCCAUUGGUUCCAGAAUAGCUGAACGUUCAAAACGAGCUAUUGGGUCGCUAUGAACGGAGUCCGAUACGCGCCGAAAACCAACUCUACUCCGUGGCUUCUCCGGAAAAUCGGAGUUACUAUUCACUUAAGUGAAAACUAAUAAUCGCGUAACUUCUCCAUUUUAGCUCAUUUUCUCCUGAAACUUGACGAGUGCUUAUGUAAUUAAAUUACACACAUAAACAUCAUCAACAGAGAGUUUAGUUGCUCUGUAAAAAUCUCAGUCCUUACAGUAUGAAUCACCAUAACAUGAAUUAACACUUUACCUGGACAUCGUGAUUCACAUCGUGGGUCAUUUUUCAAUUUCUUCGAAAUCUUGAAUUCUUCGAUCUUCGACGAUACGCACCGAUUCUUCAAGACUCCGACUCACUUCACGAAACUUGCCAACACACAGGACUUAACAUAAAGUAGAGAAUGGGAAUGGUUUAGCUGGACCUAGGAGACCCUAGAAUAGUAAACCUUAGGAGAUUAAGGCCCGUGAGAGACGAGGAUUUGUGGCUUGUGGCGAAUGGAUAAUGGAUUGGGUUGUGUCGAAACCUCUAAGACAGAUAUUAGAGAUAGACUCGAGGUGUGGUUUAUUCUUGACUGAGGGUGUUCAUGUUGGGCGCGCACGACAUGAAACAGAGUGAUGAGAAUCGGUGCCCUUGCUUGACUUUCGCCCGAUUUGAGUCGAUGAUUAGCUAGUUCGUACUUGACCUAGAGGGUCGAGAACUGACGAGUUGUCCUGUUUCAGGAAGCGAUGGCACCGCGUAGGCGAUCUUCAUACAGAUCGGUGCGGGAGGGGACAAGUGGUGUCCUUGAGCAAACCGACGCGAGCGGAGACUCAGAGCUUCGUGAUCAGUUGGCCACACUCGUCGAAGUGGUGAGGCAACAGGCCGAUUUGGUGCAGCGGCAGCAAAGGCUGCAAUGCGCCAGGAGGAGCGAAUGAAAAGACUCCAAGAGACAGUGGAUCAGUUGGUGACUGCUCCAGUUGCGACUCGUCGUGUACGGUCGGGAGUCGUGGCGGAGGCAUUUCCGCCGGGGUCAGGCGAUCCUACUACUAUUGGUUCAGAGAUGGAGGCGGAGAAAGAGCGGGCUUUGGCGGCCCUCAUGACCUUCAAGAGGUUUGAUCCGCCUAUCUUCGAUGGAGAGAAGGUCGAUCUGUGGAUCGUGGAGAUGUGAAUUGACUCUAUGAAAAAGCUAUUCGAGGAGGUGUACACCUUGGAGCGGGACAAGGUGCCCCUAGCAGUGCAUUGCUUGAAACUGUCGACGAAGGUGUGGUGGAAAGGCGUCAAGCGAAACCUUUCGCCUAGUCUCCCUCCUAUGACUUGGGAAGAGUUUCGGGGAUUGGUGUUUUCUAUGUACUUCCCCGAUAGUGAAAAGAGAAAGCUUUAGGACAAGUUCAGGAAGCUGCGGCAAGGGGACCGCUCUAUGAGGGAGUACGAACGGGAGUUCUCCCGUAUCGUGAAUUGUGUCCCGGAUGUGGUACAAGAUGACAAGGAUAUGGCCGAUUGGUUCCUACGUGUAUUUCGACCAGAGAUUUAUAAGGAAGUGCAAAUCUUCAAGCUCACAACCUUCGCGGAGGUGUUGGAUCGAGCGUUGUUGGCAGAGCACGGCGAGGCUUUCGUGCGUGAGGAGCACGAGCCUUCUGAACGUGAGCGGGGAGGGGUGAGGCCACUGGCGAGUGGUUCGGGUGGACAAUCAAGUUCUAGGCGCCACUCGAAGUCGUCCUCUACCCGGUCCUCCCCAAGAUGUGUGAUUUAUGGUGGUUCCCAGUGGGCUUGGCAGUGUGUACUGCGUGAUGGAAGGUGCCUUCGUUGUGGGCAGCCGGGCCAUGUGCGGGGUGAGUGCCCGCGAGGGUAUGAUCAGACCCUUACACUGGUGACGGCCUUUUCCUCUCCGGGACAGCCUGUAGGUGUGCCACCUGCGGCAUGGUCGGAAGAGCGGCCGUUGAGGAUGAUGCAACCGAGGGGUUCGCGGCGGGCAGCAAGUGGUCGUGGAUACGCGACCCAGGUGGAGGAACCUGCAGCUGCUGACGAUGUUAUGGCAGGUAUGAGUUAAUUAAGCAAGCAUAUGCUGCUACCUGAUGUCAGGUUGUUGCAUAGCAUGCAUUUAUCAUAUGGUCAGUUGCUACAAUUUAUACAUUGUAUAGUAGGGACCGAGGGAAUGGGUAGGCAGAUACCCGGGCAUGCUUGCAUUGUGAGAGUAUGGCGCCUGCUGGAGCAGGUAGAGAGCCUGAUGGCCCUAGCAAAAAUGCUAGUGAUGAUUCUUGGACAUGAAACGAGACUCGUGUUAGAGAUGAAAUGGUGAAGCGACUCUCGAAGCAGUGGCUAGUGGAUUGCGAGAGUCGAGUUGUGACAGUUAGGAAUACCCGAGUAGCCCAAGAGUUCGGAUAUAGUUUCGGUAAAUCGAACAGUGAAAGUAGAUCACUGUUGAGAGAUCGCUUGGUUAGUGGCCAAGUUUGGCCUGUGGGCCUAAUAGUACCUGGAAUUGAGGUAGGUGAGUCGUGCAUGUGUGGCCUGUGUGCAUAGGCAGGGUUGCCUAAUGCUCAACUUAGUAUGGAACGCUAUAGAGGCGUGGGACGCUCGAGUGCAAGUACUCAUAGAGUGCAGAUUUGGUUCAGCCGAGAGAGUGAGUUGGCAGUAGUACUUUAGCAUUGCUAAGUGUGACGGGGGCUAUGGAUCACUCGUAGGGUUGAUGGCUCGCACUAGGUGCAUAGGAGCCUGUCGUGGUACAUGUUACUCGAUUGAGUGUGUCGUGUGAGAUGACGGCGGGUAUUGCUUGGGGACGACCCGUGCCUGGACCCUUUGUGGACUGUGGAGCCUGGGCUCUUUGGGCAGGCGCAGUCAGUUGUGAGUGACAGCGGCCUGGUACCUACGGGUAGGGCAGAGUUUUGGUCAGGACGGUAGUCCGAGCUUAGACCCGGGAACGUAGAAUGCCACGUGUUAGAUCUUGUGAUCAAGGGAGCACUAAGAAUGCGGUUGUGACCCAACCUGAGGAUUUGACAUGGUUUGGAGUCUUGGUAACUCCUGAUUGGAGUGUGUGCGAAUUUCUAAAUGAGAAUUUCGCCCAGUGAUGAUUGGGUCUACGCUUGCGAGCGAGAAACGCUAUGCGUAGUUGAGACAGGUUAAGUGGUAGGUCUACGUGGGAUUGGUGGCCCAUGGUCCACCCGUAGAAAUCGAUUGUCGGUGCGGCCGAUAACUCUAUUAAUGAGUUUUGGCUUGAAUUACGAACGGAGUGUUCGUGUGAGCUCGUUGCGAGACCGAUUUGAUGUUGGCUGUGGCAAUUGAAGGAGAAAGUAAAGUGGUCUCUAGGAGACACUUGGAUAACAGAAGCUAUGUGAGAAUUGGAGCUUGAGGAAUGCUCUUUUGUGGAUUUAGAUUGGAGAUGUGCCGGAGUGUGCCAUCUCGUGAUAGAGCAAGGAUCCGAUGAUGGUUGGAGCGCUCACGAUGGUCGAUGCACCAAUGAUAUUGCUUUUAGGCAAUUCCGGUGGUCGAAUCGGAGUGUGUCCCCGGAAUGAAGGAUGAAUGCCAGGAAGAGUUGUAUUAGACUCUUGGAUAGCCAAAGUGGUGAAGUGCCACUUUGUGAACGCUCGAGUGAUUCGAGAAGGUCUACCCGUGUGCAUUGUGUAGCGGUGGUGGAUGGUUCGACUAGUAAAUGCGAUCUUGCUAGAUCCACACCAUGAGGAUGAAGGGUAGUCCUAAUCUCGAAUGAGAGUGAUGUUUAGUAGAGUUGUGAAGGAAUGAAUCCUUCUCAAGCUAAGCAGCAGGCGGUGUUCGAGUGUGUAGAGUCAUCGAGUAUUGACUUACACUACCACCGAGACUUGUGAAGCCGAAAUGCACUUUCGGAGUUGCGUUUAGCAAAUGUGAGUGAAUCUGGUAUCACAUCCUCCGUAGUGGGCCUUUGGAUAAUUCUGAUGAGAAAAAGGCCACUCUGAAGUGCAAAAGUGCAUUGGAACCCUCGAUUAAUUAAUAAGUCGAAUUGAGGGGUGAAUUGGAUUUGAAGUGAGUGAGUUUCGAGGACGAAACUCUCGAAGUGAGUGAAUUCUCGAAAUACGGGAGUUGAACUUCAAUUAGAAUUGACUGACUGUCGAUUGGGUAUGCUUCGGAAAGGCCAAAAGCAUCAAAGAGGUCAAAAGUGCGUUGAGGAUGGCCUCCGAGAGCAAGCUGGAGAAGUUCUGCACAACUGCAGUUUUUGUGCUCUCGGGGACCGGUCCCUCAGCCGGAGAGAUCGGUCCCCGUACGCGUGAAAAUGGGCAGAGCCCUCUGCCCGCGGAAAUUGCUUUUGGGGUCUGGUCCCUCAGCCAAGGACCGGUCCUCCAUGGUCCGGUCCCUCAUGCAAAGUCCGGUCCCGGUACGCGAAAUCUGCCAGUGCAGAGCAGUGCAAUAGAGGCAUUGUUGAGGAGGUUUUUGGCAUAUUAUUACAUAUGAGGGGUUAAGUGAGAGUUCCCUCUCUCUCUUUCUCUCAUUCCCUCAACCCUAACGCACACUCUCCCUCUCUCUCUCUAGAUUAGCUCUCUCUCUCUCUCUCAUCAAGGAGGAGCAAGAGAAGGGGAAAGUAAAGGAGAGGGUGGAGAAGAAAGCUAGGAAAUGGAUCAUCUUCAUCUUCUUCAUCUUCUUCCUUGAUUUGGAAGCUUGGAGAGGUAAGCUUCUUGAAGCAACAAUGGUGAUUUCUUAGGGUUGGUUUAUAUACUCUAAGAAUGGAUUCUUUGGAACCCUAGCAUGCCAUCUAGAUGGAUUACACCUAAUUUGUGGGAAGAUUUGGUGGUUUUUGCAAUAGUUACAAACUAGGGCUCCAAGUGGGGAUUUUUGUAAACCUAUGGGUUUGAUCUCAAUUGACCCUCCGUAAAUCUAAUUGCUAGGCAUUCUGACGCAUUGGCGAAGUCGGUUCGGCGAUUCGUCGAGCCUACGCGAAGAUAUUGAAGAAACAGACGAUUUAGCUUCGUUUCCGCCUGGAGGGCCGAUGCGACAUCCAAAAAUCAUGAAAAUGGAUUUGUGGCAUCGCGGCAUCAAGCUGUAGACCUAUAAUUUUCAGGGCCGCGAAUCGACACACGGUUGGGGUGCAGUUGCAGUAUCGGGCCGAACCGGACGGCGUGUGCCGUGGGAGGCCGAUUGCAAAUGACUACAAGCAAUUGGAACGCGAUAACAGGUGGAUUGUGCUUACCGAAGCGACUAGGUCGCUUGCAUGUCAAAGUGGAAUAUGGAUUCCUGUUGACGCAUAUGUAUGUGCAUGUGGGCAUUGCAAAUGUGCUAGAUGGAAAUAUAGGCAUGUUAGCUUUAUGUAAAUACAUGCUAGUGGGUAAUUGCAUAAUGAUGCAUUGAAAGUAUAUGCUAGUGGAUAGAUUCAUGUUGAUAUACAUGCAUAGUGGAAUAUAUGCUAGAUGUAUUUAGCAUUAUGAAAUCAUGUUAGAUAAGAAGCAUGUUGGCAUUGUGAGCAUGUAACUAUAAACUCGAUGUGGACAACUAGGAUGUCAAGUAGAUCGAGUGGCAUUAAACCUAGUGUUAUUAAACAUAGGUUGGAAAUAAACCUAGUGCCGUGAACCUAGGAUGAACAUGAGUGGCAUUAACCUAGUGUCGUGAACAUAGGUUGAAUACGAGUGGCAUUGAACCUAGGGUUAUUUAACAUAGGUUGUAGUGAACCAAGUGUCGUGGACUUAGGAUGGAUAAGAAUGACAUAUGAACCUAGGUUAUGUGAUAAAGGCAUCGAACCUAGUGUUAAAUGAACCUAGGUUAUGUGAUAAAGGCAUUGAACCUAGAGUCAGUUGGACCUAGGGUGGAAAAGACAACGGACCUAGAUAGGUCGAUACUAUAGGGUUUGAGACCAACCCUUGAGAUGCAAAAUGGAUUUCGGAAUCCCUAGUGUUGUGGCCGCAAAAGAGGUGGUGGAAACUUGCUGCAGAAUGGACGUGAAUCAUAACUGCGGGUAUGUGUGGUUCUCCUCGCCCGGCAGUGAUACAACGGCAUGUGUGGUUCUCUUCGAAUGAAAUGCUAUGAGAAUAAGUUUGAAAUGGGUAUGUGUGGUUCUCCUCGCCCAUUUAGCUUAUUGGAUGAUGCCGCCAGGAUUGACUUGAGCCAUUGUUGGGUGAGGUGCGAUGCGUUCGCUGCCAGAUGGCUAAGUCAAGAGGUGCGGUGGGCUGUGACGGCAGCCAGGCUGAGAUGCAACCAGUCCGCGGUAGUCCGCGGAUGAUUGACUCAAGGCCAAGUCGAGUGGAUAGCUUGGAUAAGGUAGUGGACUCCUUAGAAGCUAGUGAUAAAGGCCAGUGCUAAGGUAAUAGAGACUUUAGAAGUAAGUGGACUUGAGUUGCGAACCUAAGGCUAGGGGUGGAAACGAGCCGAGCUCGAGCGAGCUUGCCUCGGCUCAAAUUCGGCUUGAAAUUAAUUUCGAGCCUAAAUUUAAGCUCAAGCUUGGAUUGAAAUAAAUUCGAGCCGAGCUCGAGCGAGCCUAAUUUCGAGUCCAGCGAGCUCGAGCCCUAAACGAGCCGCUUGAAAUUCUCAACAUCAUAUGAUCAAUAGUUUAAUUUGUAUAGAACAUUAUCUAUAAUUUGAUACAAAAAUAUGUCUAAUAGUUCAAAGUAUAAAAUAAUUAUAUAAAAUAUAGUAUUAUAAUAUGAAAAAAAAAUUUAUGAGUUGAAUACAAUUAAUAGCAAGAUAGGCAACGGCAGGCAUAUGCUGCUACUUGGUAACUUAUAUAUAUAUAUAUAUAUAUAUAUAUAUAUAUAUAUUCGAGCUUUUCGAGCUUUUCAAGCCUAAUUCGAACGAGCCGAGUAAUACUCAAGCUCGGCUUGAAAUGAAUUUCGAGCCUUUUUUUUUGUUCAAGCUCGGCUCAUUUAAUUUCGAGUCGAGCUCGAGCGAGCCAAAUAUCGAGUCGAAUGCGAGUCGAACGCGAGCCGGCUCGCUCAUUUGCCAGCCCUACCUAAGGCAAAGGAAACCUUAGAGCUAGAUGAUAUGAGCUAAAGAUAGCAGGUUUGACUUGAGACUCAAUUGACAAGUUCUCGGGCGAUGAGACCGAGAAUACGAUGGAACAUGUAGCUCGAUUUACGGCCCAGUGUACAGAAGCGGCCGCAGACCCGUUUUAAAGCUUUGAUUAUUUAAUACAUUAUUAACUAAAACAGUAUUUACUUGGUAUACAAGUUUACUAGCCAAUUUUGUCCGAAAUUGCGAUGAAUUGGAAAGAAAAUUCUAUGGGCAAUUCUAUAGGUCCGAAUCGGAGUUAUCGAUGGCCGACUUGGCCUUAUACUGACAAAAGUUGGGUGAAACAGUGGAGGAAUAUUUGAAUUGUUUCAAAAUGGUUAGGAACUGGUGUUUCAUAAGAAUGCUUGGCAUCACAGUUCGUCAAAAUGGCGUUCAAUGGUCGACAUUUCAAGAUAAAAGAUUAUUUUCAAUAUAAAUAUUUUUCGAACUUGUUCCAUUUGGGCGUUUGAAUUGCUCAAUAUGAAUAGUUUAGAAAAGAAAACAAUGAGAAUCAGUCACGAUGGAGCUAAAUAAAGAAUGGAACAAAGGAAAAGAGAAGAAUGUCGCUUUCAUUGAAGAGGCUUCGGCUCAAGACGAGCCGAAUAUCUCAAGUGUACAAGUGUGCGCUGCUCAAACCAGGAAGGCCAGCGAAAUAAAAGCAUGAAUGACGGCAUACACUGUCACGCCCCGGGGUCCCCUUUUAGUUUGAAACACAGCGGAAAAACGUUUAAAUUUUUUUUUUUUGAAAACCUGACCCCAGAGUAUGCCAGAUCCGCCACAAAUACAGGGAAUCCACUGUUCACACGGACAGAGUCUCCUCUAUAUUUGCACGGCGUCGCACAAGUACAAAAGUACAAACAGUAUACAACCACAACUAAAUGAAUAUACAGAUAGCUAUACAUUCAUACAUUCACCAUUCACACCGUAGUUUUACAUUCGAUGUUUAAACAAAAGUUCACGAAAAACCUUUUGAAAACUGUUCCAUACGCGAGAACUUUUAUCUUUUAUAAAAGCUACCACGAGGGGUAGAAAACCUUUUAUUUUACCAAAUUUAGAAAUUCUUUUAUUACAUUCAUGAAAGUCCACAUAUUCCAAUGUAAUAAAAAUACUGAACCAUAUAAACUGACUAAGCUAUAACAACAGAAUAGUAGGGAUAAAACUAAACCGAUAACCUGGGUCGGGAGCUCUAUCGACCACUACGAACGUACCUCACGUCUCGUCCCAAAACUCAACGCCUGCAAUACCUGAAAAAAUGGUGGGGGAGGUGAGAACAUGUAAACAUGUCUCCCCUCCCAGUGGGUACCGCAAGCCGAUGAAGGCGAGGAGUACUCACCGGAUCAGGAAGAGCUAAACAACAGUACGGGUCAGUAGAAAAUACAGUAG
rnacentral:lncRNA from 1 species